rnacentral:rRNA from 1 species
GAUGAACGCUGGCGGCGUGCCUAAUACAUGCAAGUCGAGCGAACAGACGAGGAGCUUGCUCCUCUGACGUUAGCGGCGGACGGGUGAGUAACACGUGGAUAACCUACCUAUAAGACUGGGAUAACUUCGGGAAACCGGAGCUAAUACCGGAUAAUAUAUUGAACCGCAUGGUUCAAUAGUGAAAGACGGUUUUGCUGUCACUUAUAGAUGGAUCCGCGCCGCAUUAGCUAGUUGGUAAGGUAACGGCUUACCAAGGCAACGAUGCGUAGCCGACCUGAGAGGUUGAUCGGCCACACUGGAACUGAGACACGGUCCAGACUCCUACGGGAGGCAGCAGUAGGGAAUCUUCCGCAAUGGGCGAAAGCCUGACGGAGCAACGCCGCGUGAGUGAUGAAGGUCUUCGGAUCGUAAAACUCUGUUAUUAGGGAAGAACAAAUGUGUAAGUAACUAUGCGCGUCUUGACGGUACCUAAUCAGAAAGCCACGGCUAACUACGUG